rnacentral:tRNA from 1 species
GCCCGGGUGGUGAAAUUGGUAGACACAAGGGACUUAAAAUCCCUCGGAGAUUUUCUCUGUGCCGGUUCGACUCCGGCCCUGGGCACCA